GCAGGUGGAAAUGGAGAGAAGUGGGAGAAUGGCCAGUUACUGAUUAACUUCGCUGUCUUAUACGGGACCACUCUGUCCCCAGAAACCACCAAUGAGCAGGUCAUCAGAACGGACAUGAUAAUAAUGGGGAAACUUGAAACGCCAUAUAAAGCACAUGCCAAGACACUUGUGCACUGAAGAGUUGCCACAAACUCCCCAUUUGCAAAAAACGCAAUACCUACAAAAUGUGUGAAGAUGGAAUAUUUCCUGCAACAGUAAAUGUGUUCAGAUCAUCAGUGUAGAAUGCAACUUGCUACUGAACCCAUGACUGAGUAGUAGACGCUUUUUGAGAAUGUCUAUCCACAUAAAAUAGAAAAAAAAAAGUUAAAAAUCCAUCCAACGGAAAUCCGUCUUUAUCAAAGUGUAACCUAUUUUCAAUUUGUGGACUUAGUUCCAUCUUAUAAAAGUGAGCACACAGGAAGAGCUUGCCAUGGUGAGCUAUGAAAUUUUACUAGCUAUAGACAACUGACAGCAACUCAGUAAACCCAACAAGAUGAGUCUGGUGAAAAAGGACCAGAACAUCGGUUCAAAUCUUUCCACCUAAGUGGUAACUGGACCCUUUUAGGUACUUCUUUUUAAAAAAUAUUUAUUUUCUCUUUUGUUGCUCUUGUUAUUUUUAUUGUUGUAGUUAUUAUUGUUAUUGAUGUUGCCCUUGUUGGAUAGGACACAGAGAAAUGGAGAGAGGAGGGGAAGACAGAGAGGGGGAGAGAAAGAAAGACACCUGUAGACCUGCUUCACCGCCUGUGAAGCGACUCCCCUGCAGGUGGGGAGCCGGGGGCUCG